GAUGAACGCUAGCGGCAGGCCUAAUACAUGCAAGUCGGACGGGAUUCAGGAGCUUGCUUCUGAUGAGAGUGGCGCACGGGUGCGUAACACGUAUGUAACCUACCUUUAUCAGGGGGAUAGCCUCUCGAAAGAGAGAUUAAGCCCGCAUAAAAUCACAGCACAGCAUUGUGUAAUGAUCAAAUAUUUAUAGGAUAAAGAUGGGCAUGCGGAACAUUAGCUAGAUGGCGGGGUAACGGCCCACCAUGGCGACGAUGUUUAGGGGAUCUGAGAGGAUGGCCCCCCACACUGGUACUGAGACACGGACCAGACUCCUACGGGAGGCAGCAGUAAGGAAUAUUGGUCAAUGGGCGGAAGCCUGAACCAGCCAUGCCGCGUGCAGGAAGACGGCCCUACGGGUUGUAAACUGCUUUUAUACGGGAAUAAACCCAGAUACGUGUAUCUGGCUGAAUGUACUGGAAGAAUAAGAAUCGGCUAACUCCGUG
rnacentral:rRNA from 1 species